rnacentral:misc_RNA from 1 species
AAUUUCAAACAUAGUUGCAAAGAAUCCUUUCCAGACUCAUGGUGAAUAAACUCAGUCACAUAAAGUCAAAUUGAAAACCAUCUUCAAGAAGUUGACAUUUGUCUCAAUAAUGAAAAUAAUAUUGGAGUAGAUUUGAGAAACUGACAAUAUUGACUAUUAACAACAUGCCAAACUUUUCAAUAAAACAUUGAGAAGCAUAAG